AACGUAGGGGGCGAGCGUUGCCCGGAUUCACUGGGCGUAAAGCGGGUGUAGGCGGUUCUUUAAGUCGGAUGUGAAAUCCUACGGCUCAACCGUGGAACUGCAUCCGAUACUGGGGAACUUGAGGACGGUAGAGGUCGGUGGAAUAUCCGGUGUACCGGUGAAAUGGGCAGAUAUCGGAUAGAACACCAGUGGCGAAGGCGGCCGACUGGGCCGUUCCUGACGCUGAGACCCGAAAGCUAGGGUAGCGAACCGG
rnacentral:rRNA from 1 species